CAAAUUUUAAGAGUUUGAUCCUGGCUCAGGAUGAACGCUGGCUGUGUGCCUAAUACAUGCAUGUCGAGCGAGGUUCUUUUGAACCUAGCGGCGAAUGGGUGAGUAACACGUGCUUAAUCUACCCUUUAGAUUGGAAUACCCAAUGGAAACAUUGGCUAAUGCCGGAUACGCAUGGAAUCGCAUGAUUCCGUUGUGAAAGGAGCCYUUAAAGCUCCGCUAGAGGAUGAGGGUGCGGAACAUUAGUUAGUUGGUAGGGUAAUGGCCUACCAAGACUAUGAUGUUUAGCCGGGUCGAGAGACUGAACGGCCACAUUGGGACUGAGAUACGGCCCAAACUCCUACGGGAGGCAGCAGUAGGGAAUAUUCCACAAUGAGCGAAAGCUUGAUGGAGCRACACAGCGUGCACGAUGAAGGUCUUCGGAUUGUAAAGUGCUGUUAUAGGGAAAGAACACCUGGUUGAGGAAAUGCUUCCAGGCUGACGGUACCCUGUCAGAAAGCGAUGGCUAACUAUGUGCCAGCAGCCGCGGUAAUACAUAGGUCGCAAGCGUUAUCCGGAAUUAUUGGGCGUAAAGCGUUCGUAGGCUGUUUAUUAAGUCUGGAGUCAAAUCCCAGGGCUCAACCCUGGCUCGCUUUGGAUACUGGUAAACUAGAGUUAGAUAGAGGUAAGCGGAAUUCCAUGUGAAGCGGUGAAAUGCGUAGAUAUAUGGAAGAACACCAAAGGCGAAGGCAGCUUACUGGGUCUAUACUGACGCUGAGGGACGAAAGCGUGGGGAGCAAACAGGAUUAGAUACCCUGGUAGUCCACGCCGUAAACGAUGAUCAUUAGUCGGUGGAGAGUUCACUGACGCAGCUAACGCAUUAAAUGAUCCGCCUGAGUAGUAUGCUCGCAAGAGUGAAACUUAAAGGAAUUGACGGGGACCCGCACAAGCGGUGGAGCAUGUGGUUUAAUUUGAAGAUACGCGGAGAACCUUACCCACUCUUGACAUCCUUCGCAAUGCUAUAGAGAUAUAGCGGAGGUUAACGGAGUGACAGAUGGUGCAUGGUUGUCGUCAGCUCGUGUCGUGAGAUGUUUGGUCAAGUCCUGCAACGAGCGCAACCCCUAUCUUUAGUUACUAACGAGUCAUGUCGAGGACUCUAGAGAUACUGCCUGGGUAACUGGGAGGAAGGUGGGGAUGACGUCAAAUCAUCAUGCCUCUUACGAGUGGGGCAACACACGUGCUACAAUGGUCGGUACAAAGAGAAGCAAUAUGGCGACAUGGAGCAAAUCUCAAAAAGCCGAUCUCAGUUCGGAUUGGAGUCUGCAAUUCGACUCCAUGAAGUCGGAAUCGCUAGUAAUCGCAGAUCAGCUACGCUGCGGUGAAUACGUUYUCGGGUCUUGUACACACCGCCCGUCACACCAUGGGAGCUGGUAAUACCCAAAGUCGGUUAGCUAACCUCGGAGGCGACCGCCUAAGGUAGGACUGGUGACUGGGGUGAAGUCGUAACAAGGUAUCCCUACGAGAACGUGGGGAUGGAUCACCUCCUUUCAUACGGAG
rnacentral:rRNA from 2 species